GAUGAACGCUGGCGGCGUGCCUAAUACAUGCAAGUCGAGCGAACGGACGAGAACUUUGCUCCUCUGAUGUUAGCGGCGGACGGGUGAGUAACACGUGGAUAACCUCCCUAUAAGACUGGGAUAACUUCGGGAAACCGGAUCUAAUCCCGGAUAAUUUUUUGAUCCGCAUGUUUCAAAAUUGAAAUACGGUCUUGCUGUUACUUAUUGAUGGUUCCGCGCUGCAUUAGCUAGUUGGUAAGGUAACGGCUUACCAAGGCAACGAUGCAUAGCCGACCUGAGAGGGUGAUCGGCCACACUGGAACUGAGACACGGUCCAGACUCCUACGGGAGGCAGCAGUAGGGAAUCUUCCGCAAUGGGCGAAAGCCUGACGGAGCAACGCCGCGUGAGUGAUGAAGGUCUUCGGAUCGUAAAACUCUGUUAUUAGGGAAGAACAUAUGUGUAAGUAAAUGUGCACAUCGUGACGGUACCUAAUCAGAAAGCCACGGCUAACUACGUG
rnacentral:rRNA from 1 species